UACGUAGGGUGCAAGCGUUGCUCGGAAUUAUUGGGCGUAAAGGGUAGGUAGGUGGUCUCAUUUGUCUGAGGUGAAAUCCUUGGGCUUAACCCGAGAAGGGCCUCAGAAACGGUGAGACUAGAGUUCUGGAGGGGGUCGUGGAAUUCCCGGUGUAGCGGUGAAAUGCGUAGAGAUCGGGAGGAACACCAGAGGCGAAGGCGGCGACCUGGACAGACACUGACACUCAACUACGAAAGCGUGGGGAGCAAACAGG
rnacentral:rRNA from 1 species